rnacentral:rRNA from 1 species
UACGUAGGCAGCGAGCGUUGUUCGGAGUUACUGGGCGUAAAGGGUGUGUAGGCGGUUGUUUAAGUUUGGUGUGAAAUCUCCCGGCUCAACUGGGAGGGUGCGCCGAAUACUGAAUGGCUUGGAGUGCGGGAGAGGUGAGUGGAAUUCCUGGUGUAGCGGUGAAAUGCGUAGAUAUCAGGAGGAACACCGGUGGUGUAGACGGCUCACUGGACCGUAACUGACGCUGAGACACGAAAGCGUGGGUAGCAAACAGG